rnacentral:rRNA from 1 species
UACGAAGGGGGCUAGCGUUGCUCGGAUUGACUGGGCGUAAAGGGCGCGUAGGCGGUUUGUACAGUCAGACGUGAAAUUCCUGGGCUCAACCUAGGGGCUGCGUUUGAUACGUGCGAGCUUGAGUUCGGAAGAGGGUCGUGGAAUUCCCAGUGUAGAGGUGAAAUUCGUAGAUAUUGGGAAGAACACCCGUGGCGAAGGCGGCUCUCUGGGACGGUACUGACGCUGAGACGCGAAAGCGUGGGGAGCGAACAGG